CCUACGGGAGGCAGCAGUGAGGAAUAUUGGUCAAUGGGCGCAAGCCUGAACCAGCCAAGUCGCGUGAAGGAUGACGGCCCUACGGGUUGUAAACUUCUUUUAUCAGAGAAUAAAGUGAGGCACGUGUGCCUUUUUGUAUGUACUUUAUGAAUAAGGAUCGGCUAACUCCGUGCCCGCAGCCGCGGUAAUACGGAGGCUCCGAGCGUUAUCCGGAUUUAUUGGGGUUAAAGGGAGCGUAGAGGGGUUGUUAAGUCAGAGGUGAAAUUUUGCGGCUUAACCCUCAAACUGCAAUUGAUACUGGCAGUCGUGAGGAGAGUUGAGGUAGGCGGAAUUCGGGGGGUAGCGGGGAAAUGCUUAGAUAUCACGAAGAACUCCGAUUGCGAAGGCAGCUUACUAAACGGCCACUGACAGUGAUGCUCGAAAGUGUGGGUAUCAAACAGGAUUAGAUACCCCAGUAGUC
rnacentral:rRNA from 1 species